rnacentral:piRNA from 1 species
CUGUGGGAAGAUGUCUACAUCC